UAUGGCGACCGGCGCACGGGUGAGUAACACGUAUCCAACCUGCCGAUGACUCGGGGAUAGCCUUUCGAAAGAAAGAUUAAUACCCGAUGGCAUAGUUCUUCCGCAUGGUGGAACUAUUAAAGAAUUUCGGUCAUCGAUGGGGAUGCGUUCCAUUAGGUUGUUGGCGGGGUAACGGCCCACCAAGCCUUCGAUGGAUAGGGGUUCUGAGAGGAAGGUCCCCCACAUUGGAACUGAGACACGGCCCAGAGUCCUACGGGAGGCAGCAUG
rnacentral:rRNA from 1 species